rnacentral:rRNA from 1 species
GGGUAGGGGAGCGUUCUGUAAGCCUGUGAAGGUGUGUCGUGAGGCAUGCUGGAGGUAUCAGAAGUGCGAAUGCUGACAUAAGUAACGAUAAAGCGGGUGAAAAGCCCGCUCGCCGGAAGACCAAGGGUUCCUGUCCAACGUUAAUCGGGGCAGGGUGAGUCGACCCCUAAGGCGAGGCCGAAAGGCGUAGUCGAUGGGAAACGGGUUAAUAUUCCCGUACUUGGUGUUACUGCGAAGGGGGGACGGAGAAGGCUAUGUUGGCCGGGCGACGGUUGUCCCGGUUUAAGCGUGUAGGUGUGUGUUCCAGGUAAAUCCGGUUCACUUUAACACUGAGGCGUGAUGACGAGGCACUACGGUGCUGAAGCAACAAAUGCCCUGCUUCCAGGAAAAGCCUCUAAGCAUCAGGUAACAUCAAAUCGUACCCCAAACCGACACAGGUGGUCAGGUAGAGAAUACCAAGGCGCUUGAGAGAACUCGGGUGAAGGAACUAGGCAAAAUGGUGCCGUAACUUCGGGAGAAGGCACGCUGACACGUAGGUGAAGUGAUUUACUCACGGAGCUGAAGUCAGUCGAAGAUACCAGCUGGCUGCAACUGUUUAUUAAAAACACAGCACUGUGCAAACACGAAAGUGGACGUAUACGGUGUGACGCCUGCCCGGUGCCGGAAGGUUAAUUGAUGGGGUCAGCGCAAGCGAAGCUCCUGAUCGAAGCCCCGGUAAACGGCGGCCGUAACUAUAACGGUCCUAAGGUAGCGAAAUUCCUUGUCGGGUAAGUUCCGACCUGCACGAAUGGCGUAAUGAUGGCCAGGCUGUCUCCACCCGAGACUCAGUGAAAUUGAACUCGCUGUGAAGAUGCAGUGUACCCGCGGCAAGACGGAAAGACCCCGUGAACCUUUACUAUAGCUUGACACUGAACAUUGAGCCUUGAUGUGUAGGAUAGGUGGGAGGCUUUGAAGUGUGGACGCCAGUCUGCAUGGAGCCGACCUUGAAAUACCACCCUUUAAUGUUUGAUGUUCUAACGUGGACCCGUAAUCCGGGUUGCGGACAGUGUCUGGUGGGUAGUUUGACUGGGGCGGUCUCCUCCUAAAGAGUAACGGAGGAGCACGAAGGUUGGCUAAUCCUGGUCGGACAUCAGGAGGUUAGUGCAAUGGCAUAAGCCAGCUUGACUGCGAGCGUGACGGCGCGAGCAGGUGCGAAAGCAGGUCAUAGUGAUCCGGUGGUUCUGAAUGGAAGGGCCAUCGCUCAACGGAUAAAAGGUACUCCGGGGAUAACAGGCUGAUACCGCCCAAGAGUUCAUAUCGACGGCGGUGUUUGGCACCUCGAUGUCGGCUCAUCACAUCCUGGGGCUGAAGUAGGUCCCAAGGGUAUGGCUGUUCGCCAUUUAAAGUGGUACGCGAGCUGGGUUUAGAACGUCGUGAGACAGUUCGGUCCCUAUCUGCCGUGGGCGCUGGAGAACUGAGGGGGGCUGCUCCUAGUACGAGAGGACCGGAGUGGACGCAUCACUGGUGUUCGGGUUGUCAUGCCAAUGGCACUGCCCGGUAGCUAAAUGCGGAAGAGAUAAGUGCUGAAAGCAUCUAAGCACGAAACUUGCCCCGAGAUGAGUUCUCCCUGAGACUUAGAGUCUCCUGAAGGAACGUUGAAGACGACGACGUUGAUAGGCCGGGUGUGUAAGCGCAGCGAUGCGUUGAGCUAACCGGUACUAAUGAACCGUGAGGCUUAACCUUACAACGCCGAAG